rnacentral:tRNA from 1 species
ACUCCUGUCGUUCAACGGUACAGGACCGCAGUUUCCUAAACUGCAGAUCAGGGUUAGAGUCCUUGCAGGAGUACCA